rnacentral:lncRNA from 1 species
GAAUUCUCCAUUCACUCAGAAAGCAGGAAGAUGAGGCACCGGGAUUAGAGUGCGCACCACCACAGCCAACAUCAGUCCUGUUUUGUAUGUUUGAAGGAUGACUUGAGACUCUCAAGGCUGCAAGCUUGCAUGCAGAUAACGUAACUACAUUCAUUGAUUUCAUCCACUCCACAAAUCCCCAGUAAGUACUGCCUCUUUAUGAGCACUGUUUUGGGACCUGGGGGAACAGCCAUGAACUUGGCAUGAUGUCUCCUGUGCUCAUAGGGCUCACUGACUAGAUUGGGAGCCAGGCCAGAAAUAAGCAG